AGCUUUGCGCAGUGGCAGUAUCGUAGCCAAUGAGGUUUAUCCGAGGUGCAAUUAUUGCUAAUUUUUGUUUCCAUAUAUAUUUUAGGAUUAUUCCAGUGUGAAAAAUGCUGAUGGCAUUUUGAUAGGGAUUGCAUUGAAUG